UACGUAGGGGGCGAGCGUUGUCCGGAAUGAUUGGGCGUAAAGGGCGCGUAGGCGGCCUGUUAAGUCUGGAGUGAAAUUCCUGCUUUCAAGGUAGGAAGUGCUUUGGAAACUGGCGGGCUGGAGUGCAGGAGAGGUUAGCGGAAUUCCCGGUGUAGCGGUGAAAUGCGUAGAGAUCGGGAGGAACACCAGUGGCGAAGGCGGCUAACUGGACUGUAACUGACGCUGAGGCGCGAAAGUGUGGGGAGCAAACAGGAUUAGAUACCCUGGUAGUCCACACUGUAAACGAUGAAUGCUAGGUGUAGGGGGUAUCGACCCCUUCUGUGCCGGAGUUAACACAAUAAGCAUUCCGCCUGGGGAGUACGGCCGCAAGGUUGAA
rnacentral:rRNA from 1 species